rnacentral:rRNA from 1 species
AGAGUUUGAUCAUGGCUCAGAGCGAACGUUAGCGGCGGGCCUAACACAUGCAAGUCGAGCGGGUGUAGCAAUACAUCAGCGGCAGACGGGUGAGUAACGCGUGGGAACGUACCUUUUGGUUCGGAACAACCCAGGGAAACUUGGGCUAAUACCGGAUAAGCCCUUACGGGGAAAGAUUUAUCGCCGAAAGAUCGGCCCGCGUCUGAUUAGCUAGUUGGUGAGGUAAUGGCUCACCAAGGCGACGAUCAGUAGCUGGUCUGAGAGGAUGAUCAGCCACAUUGGGACUGAGACACGGCCCAAACUCCUACGGGAGGCAGCAGUGGGGAAUAUUGGACAAUGGGGGCAACCCUGAUCCAGCCAUGCCGCGUGAGUGAUGAAGGCCCUAGGGUUGUAAAGCUCUUUUGUGCGGGAAGAUAAUGACGGUACCGCAAGAAUAAGCCCCGGCUAACUUCGUGCCAGCAGCCGCGGUAAUACGAAGGGGGCUAGCGUUGCUCGGAAUCACUGGGCGUAAAGGGUGCGUAGGCGGGUCUUUAAGUCAGGGGUGAAAUCCUGGAGCUCAACUCCAGAACUGCCUUUGAUACUGAAGAUCUUGAGUCCGGGAGAGGUGAGUGGAACUGCGAGUGUAGAGGUGAAAUUCGUAGAUAUUCGCAAGAACACCAGUGGCGAAGGCGGCUCACUGGCCCGGUACUGACGCUGAGGCACGAAAGCGUGGGGAGCAAACAGGAUUAGAUACCCCAGUAGUCC